rnacentral:lncRNA from 1 species
UCUUUGAGGUGGAAACCAAUUGCAUGGAUCAAAUGGUCCUGAUGGUGCAUAGAGCCUUAGGUUUGGAAAGAAGUGAAGGGCCUUGCCGCCUUGCUGGGGACUUGAGCCUCUCAGCCAUUGGUGCUCUCUGGAGCUGCCCGCCCACCAGGGGCAAUGGCCCUUGUUGGCCUCCAGGCCCCCUCCUUCCCUGGAUGCUGUGCUGUUCUCCUCUUGGUCUUGUUUCAUUGGCUGUGGCAGAAACUUUGGUCCCAACAAGGCCCAGGAAACAGACCCUAGCAAAGACCUGAGGCAACUGGGUGCCCCAGGACCACAGGAACUCAUGUGUGCUGUGAGGGCUUUAAGAGCUUUGAAGUGGGGAGUCUCUGACGUGGAUCAGGGCUAUGGGUGCUGAUGCUGUCAAUAAGCCACACGCAAAGGUUGGGUCAAUAUGACUGCUUCUCAGACCCUCUUCGGAGGCAGACUCUCCCUCACCUGCCUGGCCAAAUUCCCUCUGGGCAGAAGGACCCUAGGGAGCUUUUCCUGGCCCAUGUGGCAGAGGCCCAGGCUCCCACUCAGACAAUGACCCCUUGCUUUGCCCACUGAAAGAAGUCCCCAGAAGAUGAGCUCUGUUACAAGCAGAACAGAAAAGAAACAGUGGGAUUAGGGCUCCAAAAACCCUCCAGAACUAUCAGAGAAUUCUGGACAGUGGUCCCUGAUGGCAUCUGUGUUAGGGGCUGGGAACAAGAACCCCUCUCACAGGCACCUCUACAGGCGGGGUUAAGACUGUCAAAUACUGGCCGAGGCCAAGGGAGACUCUGUCAUGUCUGAGGCCAUAGGCAUGUUUUCUUCUGGACUUCAGCGAGAGGCAGAGCCCCCAGCCCCAUGCAGUCACCUCAGCUCUGCCUGAGAAGAAGCGAGGGAAGCCCAUUCCUCCCCAUCAGUUGGCCUCUGGGGAGGCAAAGUCAAGUAUGUGAUGGUUCCUUACCUGUGCAGGGAAAAUGGAACUUGGGAGUCAGCUGUCUGAAGGCAUCACGCCUUGUAUGACCCUUGCAAGCCCAAGCUACCUACCUGUUCCUGUACAGAAACCCUCCCUGGCCUCAUCCUGUGGGUGGCAAACCCACAUAUUCAGUUAUUGCUGUUUUCUUCCUUCCUUGGAUACUUGUCUCCAAUAAAUAUUUACAGUGGGACCCACAGAUGAACCUUAGCCCCAAACAUAAGAUAGCUAUGUCAAAAGGGGUCCUGGGACAGUGAUACCCCAGGGGGGUCAGGCAAAAACAGAAGCAAGCCUCUUGGCCACCUCCUCCCUUAGCCUUCUGCGUAAAGAUGGACUUGCAGGAGGAGAACACACCCUGCAACUACAGAACCUCAUGGUACGGAACCACCAGGGGAUCCUCGCCCACGGCCCUGGGUGGAAUUGAUGUUGGGAAGAUAGAUUAGUAGUGAGGCGCAUCACCCCACUGUGACUCACCUUCUUCUGCCCCCACGCCUGUCCUUCAGACCAUCUCCCUGCUGCGGCAGAGCCACUGAGUUCAGGGAGCAACUGUGGGCAGAUGAAAUUGGGCUGUGGUGGGUGUGGGAAUCCCUGUGGACUUCCAAAAGCACUUCGGUU